CAAAACCACACUCAGCUAUCACGUCACGCCAGUCAGAGUGGCCAAAAUGAACAAAUCAGGAGACUAUAGAUGCUGGAGAGGAUGUGGAGAAACGGGAACCCUCUUGCACUGUUGGUGGAAUGCAAACUGCUGCAGCCGCUCUGGAAAACAGUGUGGAGGUUCCAAACAAUUAAAAAUAGACCUACCCUAUGACCCAGCAGUAGCCCUGCUAGGAAUUUACCCAAGGGAUACAGGAGUGCUGAUGCAGAGGGGCACUUGUACCCCAAUGUUUAUAGCAGCACUCUCAACAAUCGCCAAAUUAUGGAAAGAGCCUAAAUGUCCAUCAACUGAUAAGUGGAUAAAGAAAUUGUGGCUUAUAUACACAAUGGAGUACUACGUGGCAAUGAGAAAGAAUGAAGUAUGGCCCUUUGUAGGAACGUGGAUGGAACUGGAGAGUGUUAUGCUAAGUGAAAUAAGCCAUACAAGGAAAGGCAGAUACCAUAUGUGUCCACUCUUUUGUGGAUCCUGAGAAACUUAACAGGAACACAUGGAGGAGGGGAAGAAAGAAAAAGCGCUUAGAGUGGGAGAGAGCCAAAGCAUAAGAGACUCCUACAAACUGAGAACAAACUGAGAGCUGAUGGGGGGUGGGAGGGAGGGGAGCGUGGGUGACGGGCACUGAGGAGGGCACGUGUUGGGAUGAGCACUGGGUGUUGUAUGGAAACCAGUUUGGCAAUAAAUUUCAAAUAUUUUUUUUUCGAAAACCAUCAAGGAAAAAGAAUCUCAGGUCAGAUUGUUAGAUGAGUAUGCACGGCACCUCCCCGCAUGAACAGCAGUGUCCCUGUGAUUUGUAACAGCACAGUGCAUUGUGGGGAUCCGAAGAGAGGGACAGUACCUGGCAGAGGUUGGAUCAGGAUAAUAGGACAUGUAGGAUGUUCAGUGCAGCACUGUGACAUGGCAAGAGAAGGGAAUGCUGUCACAAUCCCCCAUUUGUGAAGGGUUGAAUGGGUGAGGUGAGUGGUCACAUUUCCAGAAUGUUGUCUAGGUGGUAAGGCCCUUGCUCCUGACUGGAGGGGCCCCAGGGGCGUGUUGCUUGGCCACCAAAGUGCAGAGCAUUAGACAUAAUGCAAUGAGCCCCAUGUCCUUUGCGUAAAAAUCUCCCUGCUCCUCACGAACGUGUGUCAGACGUGGAGAAGGUGUGGAAGGAUGGUCGGGCGAACCGGGACACCUGGGAACGUUCGUCGGGGAAACGACCGGCCCCCAUGUCCCCCUUUCCCCGAAACUGAACAUGAGGGGAUGGGGGUGCCCAGGGAAGGCUCCGAGCUGUGACCUGACCUGACCUGGCCUGCUCUAGGCUGCUGUGUGUUACCUUAUGUGACGUCCUGGAAAACAUCCUGAGGCAUCGCCAGCGUGGGUGAAGGAAACCUCUCCAACCUCUGAGUAAUCCUGCGCACUGGGGUUUCUGGCAUCCAGAGCCCCGGUACCUGGGAAAACAACAAGAGAACAUCCUAAAGUCUCUGUGUCUGUAGGCAAGUGAGCCUGGUAUGGGACCUUCCUAGAACAUGGGUGCCAGGUUACAGGAGUUCCAAGCUUUCCUGGGGCCUAUUGUGAGCAAAGUGAUGUCACUGCCUAGGAUCCACCUCCUGAGUCCCCUCUGGGAUAACACCUUUGCAAAUAGUCCUCUCUUUGCUGACUGCUCACCCCCAUUCUCCAUGAAAUGUCACAUCGGUACACAGUUCCACCAACGCACCCCUCUCCACAGUCCCCUGGGAAGGUCUGGGGGCAGCCAGGGUCCCAGCUGCGAGACCUAUCUGGGUUGAGACAGAACUCUUCUUUCUUACCUCUUUCUGGUCCCAGAUUCGCGACUGUGCUUCUCAGGGAUGGUCCGUGUCUUAUCGGCCCAAUGGAGAUCAUUCUAGCAUGGCCUCAGGAUGUCCUCAGGAUGUCCUCAGGCAUAUGUGGGAUGAUACCUGUGAAAUUGGAGCAGCGGUGUCACCUGUUGGAAGUUUAUCCAACCACAUUGACUUCAA